GCCGGAAUAGCUCAGUCGGUAGAGCAGAGGACUGAAAAUC
rnacentral:tRNA from 22 species